CAGUUACUCCAUCCGUCCGGAAAAGCUUGUCCCUCUAAUGGAUGUAUCUGGCACAAAGUUAGUGCUAGAUACAUCCAUUUGAAGGACAAGUUUGGGACAAGUUUUUUCGGAUGGAGGGAGUACCUG
rfam:Triticum aestivum genome assembly, contig: Triticum_aestivum_CS42_TGACv1_scaffold_578346_7BL